rnacentral:tRNA from 1 species
GGGGCUAUAGCUCAGCUGGGAGAGCGCCUCGCUGGCAGCGAGGAGGUCGACGGUUCGAUCCCGUCUAGCUCCA